CGGUUACGCCUUCUUUACCGUUAUCAAGGAAGGUACUCGGCCAUGCUAAGGGAAGCAUUAUUCCUUAGGCGCAUGUCGCCGCCAGCAUGGUGUGAGGGGAGGUUCGAUGCCUC
rfam:Bacillus clausii KSM-K16 DNA, complete genome.